rnacentral:rRNA from 1 species
AAUCAACGCUGGCGGCGUGCCUCAGACAUGCAAGUCGAACGAUUAAGACUUCCUUCGGGAAGUGUAUAAAGUGGCGCACGGGUGAGUAACACGUAAGUAAUCUACCUUCGAGUGGGGAAUAACAUCGGGAAACCGAUGCUAAUACCGCAUAAUGCAGCGGCAUCGCAAGAUGACAGUUGUUAAAGGAGCAAUUCGCUUGAAGAGGAGCUUGCGGCAGAUUAGCUAGUUGGUAAGGUAAUGGCUUACCAAGGCUACGAUCUGUAUCCGGUCUAAGAGGACGGUCGGACACACUGACACUGAAUAACGGGGCAGACUCCUACGGGAGGCAGCAGUCGGGAAUUGUGGGCAAGGGGCGAAAGCCUGACCCAGCAACGACGCGUGAGGGAUGAAGUAUUUCGGUAUGCAAACCUCGAAAGAAUGGGAAGAAUAAAUGACGGUACCAUUUAUAAGCCCCGGCUAACUUCGUGCCAGCCGCCGCGGUAAUAC